rnacentral:lncRNA from 1 species
AUUUUGGGGUUCAGGAAGGAAUUUGGGGGUUCAGUGAGGAUUUUGGAGGUUCAGAGGGGAUUGAGAAGGAAUUUUGGGGUUCAAGAAGGAAUUUUGGGGUUCAGUGAGGAAUUUUGGGGGUUCAAUGAGAAUUUUGGGGUUCAAGGAGGAUUUUUGGAGCUCAAGAGGAACUUUAUGGGAUUCAGUUUGGGGUUCGAUGAGGAUUUUGAGGGUUCAAUGAGGAUUUUGGGGGUUCAAUGAGGAUUUUGGGGGUUCAAUGAGGAUUUUGAGGGUUCAAUGA